rnacentral:siRNA from 1 species
UUUGAUGUCUCACCGCCGUUU